rnacentral:rRNA from 1 species
UACGGAGGGUGCAAGCGUUAUCCGGAAUUACUGGGUUUAAAGGGUGCGUAGGCGGUUAAUUAAGUCAGAGGUGAAAGGUAAUUGCUUAACGAUUAAAUUGCCUUUGAUACUGGUUAACUUGAAAGGUGAUGAGGUUGGCGGAAUGUGAUAUGUAGCGGUGAGAUGCGUAGAUAUAUCAUAGAAUACCGAUUGCGAAGGCGGCUGACUAAUCUUACUUUGACGCUGAGGCACGAAAGCGUGGGGAGCGAACAGG